GUUGUGGUGAGAACCUCCUAUAGAGUUCCGAGGCACUUUCUGACCGCUAGUGCCUCCUGUGUCUACCCUCACGGACCCGAGUCUGUGCGCCAAGGAGAAGCAGAUGGCGGGGGCGGAGCCAGGGGAGGCAGCUGGGUCCUCUGUUGCUGGGCUCUGCCAGAGGUGACACUGCUGGGGAUUGCUGAGCCAUCUCAGCUGUUUAUGGAACCCCCAGGAGAGUCUAGUUUCCCAUGGGAGAAGCUGUGAUGACCGAGGGCCGUGAAGUGGUACAGAGAAAUCUAUUUAGGUACCUGUCUGAACCAUUAAGCCAAACAUGAAAAAUGGAGAGACUGACAAAGACAAUGGAAAACCAGUCGCUGAACAAGGGGAAGAACACCUGGUCCAGAAAGAUAACACCUCUCUGGGUAUGCAAGAUCCUUGGAGACCAAGAGGAGGACCCCAGAUGCAGAGGCAUUUGCCGGCACUGAAGACCUGGACUGGCUCCCCCCAUAACUUGAGAGUCCUUAAUGCCCUAGUGACUCAGGCCAAAAACAUGUCCCCAGAAGGGACAGAGACAGAACCUUAUAUCCUAUUUCUGCUUAUGUGUGCCAUUAUUACUGCUAAUUCUCAGGCACAGGCUCAGCCUUUGUUGUAGGCCAUAGUUAGAACCCCUCCUGUUUCUUAUGCCAGUCUCCUGGGAUGCUCAUUGGCCACUAUCUACAGUGACAACCCUAAUGUAGAUUGUUUGGUUUUAGACAUCCUUUGGUCCCUGCCUGCUGCAGGGUGUGGCUUGCAUACCCUGCCCUCUACCCUGAGUUUUCUAGUCCAGGGGUUGGGCUUCCCUUCUCCAAGGGGCCUUUUAGUAAAUAAUCUAGACAUUUUGGUUUUCCCUCCCCCCUCUCUCCUGCUCUCCUCUCUGUGUAUCUGUCUUUCGUUCUCUCUUCUCUUUACAUGCAUUUCUCUCCCCCUCCCCUGUUGCUUUCAAUAAACCUGUAUAUAUAUA